UACGUAGGGGGCUAGCGUUGUCCGGAAUCAUUGGGCGUAAAGCGCGUGUAGGCGGCCCGGUAAGUCCGCUGUGAAAGUCGGGGGCUCAACCCUCGGAUGCCGGUGGAUACUGUCGGGCUAGAGUGCGGAAGAGGCGAGUGGAAUUCCUGGUGUAGCGGUGAAAUGCGCAGAUAUCAGGAGGAACACCAAUUGCGAAGGCAGCACUCUGGGACGUGACUGACGCUGAGACGCGAAAGCGUGGGGAGCAAACAGG
rnacentral:rRNA from 1 species